AUAAUAAUAAGUCUUUUAAUUGGAGGCUGGAAUGAAAGAUUGCACGAGAUAAUAACUGUCUCAUAAAAAAUAUAAUUUAAAUUUAAUUUUUAAGUUAAAAAGCUUAAAUUUUAUUAGAGGACGAGAAGACCCUAUAGAACUUUAUAAUUAUUUAAUAAUAAUUUAAAAUUUAAUUAUUAAUUUAUAUAUUAUUUUAUUGGGGCGAUAAAAAAAUUAAUUAAACUUUUUUAAUGAAAUAAAAACAAUAAUUUAUGAAUUUUUGAUCCUAAAAUUUAGAUUAUUAGAUUAAGUUACCUUAGGGAUAACAGGAUAAUUUUUUUUUAGAGUUCUUAUUAGUAAAGAAGAUUGC
rnacentral:rRNA from 1 species